GACCGACUGCCACUUCACGAGUAUACCAAACCUAAUUAAGUCCAUUAAAAUUGGUGAGGUCUAGGGUUUUGAGUGCAGAAAUCCUAACGCUUAUCCUGUGCGUUUACAUGACCAUUUACGCACUUCCAAUAACUUCAAUGUCAAGUACUUGUCCCCGUUUUGUAAUGAAAUUGAUAUUUCUGAAUCGUGGUCGAAUCCUCCUCCUUU